rnacentral:rRNA from 1 species
ACGUAGGAGGCGAGCGUUAUCCGGAUUUACUGGGCGUAAAGCGCGUGCAGGCGGUGCGAUAGGUCGUGCGUGAAAGCUCCCAGGCUUAACCGGGAGAGGACGUGCGAGACUGUCGGACUAGAGGCAGGUAGAGGCAAGUGGAAUUCCGGGUGUAGUGGUGAAAUGCGUAGAGAUCCGGAGGAACCCCGGUGGCGAAGGCGACCUGCUCGGCCUUGCCUGACACUCAGACGCGAAAGCACGGGGAGCGAACGG